CUUUUGUAUUUUGUCAAGACAGCGAGCGGAGGCCGUCCACACCGGAUCCACGCCGUCUAAAAUAACAUCAACUAACCUUCGACUAAGCGCUCCAAACUAUCAGCAGCUGAGCCUAAUUAGCGGGAGCGUGGUUCUUCUGUCAAGCGGGUGAAACAGCAGAUAUAAGGCGGCAGGGAAGCAGAGCUUGGAGAGAGUCCCUUUUCUGCUAUCCCAAACAACGUGUUGAGUACUUGCUGUUGAGCAAACGUGUAAUCGGUGAAUCUGUGGUGUGUAUAUGAAGUGGUCAUUUGAUCUUUUUGUGAAUUAAACAGUAAAACCGUGUUGGGAGACGGGAGCCUGUUCAUUAGGGCUUUAUACCCUUUCUGUUUUUUCUCCUGUUUUUAUGUCAGUCAGGGAGAGAGGUAAGACAACUGUCUUUGAUUUGCUUUUCUUUUGGUAGGUAAUUUAUAUAGUUUAAAUCCUUUAGGAAGAUCUUGUUUUGUUUAUUAUUUUGGCGUUGCCCUCUCCUGACGAUUUGGUUGUUUUCUGUUUAUCGAUCUUUGUUUGUUAUUUACUUGAUUUGCUAAGCCGGCAAAUAAACCACUUCAUUUGAGUA